AUAUCUCUCUGUACGGGAAGGAUGAGAAGCUUCGACUAAGGUUCGAUUCGAGCGCAGCGAGAAAGCGUUGCCGCAGGCAACGACCCGAAGGGCGAAACGCGCAGCGCUGAG
rnacentral:sRNA from 2 species